UACGGAGGGGGCGAGCGUUAUUCGGAAUUAUUGGGCGUAAAGAGCGUGUAGGCGGCUUGGUAGGUCUCGCGUCAAAACCUGAGGCUCAACCUCAGUUCGCGUGGGAAACCACCUAGCUAGAGUCCGGAAGAGGAGAACGGAAUUCCCAGUGUAGCGGUGAAAUGCGCAGAUAUUGGGAAGAACACCAGUGGCGAAGGCGGUUCUCUGGGACGGUACUGACGCUGAGACGCGAAAGCGUGGGGAGCAAACAGG
rnacentral:rRNA from 1 species